rnacentral:misc_RNA from 1 species
GAUCUUUUAGCAUCUUCUCCUCCAUGGUGAAUGUAUCCUUUAGGCACAUUAUGCACAUCAAGCAUGGGAAACAGAGAAGUGACUUGAAAGCAUGUUCCAGUGCUACAGUGGUCCGAGGUAAGAAAUCAUCCUGAAGUACAACAGAGUUUAUGAUGUCCGCAUAUCUCACAGCCAAAUUUAGCGAGACACACCUUGUAGGAGCAAUCGCAAAGCACCUGAUCCUUUUUCUGUCUAAGAACCCCAACUUUUCUCUGUUCUUCACAGUCAACAUCGUCAACAGCGUUACCACCCCUGCCCCUAAAGAAUGCCCAGCAAAUGUCAAGGUAUAAUCUGGAUAUCUCUCCACCAAUUCCCUUAAAAGUUGUGAUUCAGCUUCCCAAACCCAUUCAGCUGCUUUCAGUAGACCAUUAUGAACAUACCCCCCAUCAAAUUCUGCUUGCCCAAGUUUAUCAUCAAGUAGGACUAAAAAAUCA